rnacentral:lncRNA from 1 species
UUUUUUUAGGUUUUCAAGACUAAUUUACUCCUGUGUUAUUGCCCUCCUCCUUUGGUACCAGGCAGAAAUCGGAAACCACAAAAGAAUGAAUCUGUUCGAACAUAGUUGUUAAAAAAGAUUUUAAUUCAGUUUCAUUUUCUGUCCUUUAAAAUAGUUUGAAAUAGUCGUUUCCAGCUCAUGGAUGAGUUCGAAGAUCAUUUCGCAAAACUGACGUAUCAGUUGAGUAAAUUUUAAUUUUAAUUCUGAAAAUCAAUACGUCUGAGAAAAGGACCCGAUUGACAGAUGAGCAUCUAGAAUCGGUGAUAAAAAUCUUUAUUCAAGGCUACAAAUUUUGUCAGAAUCGAAAUGCCAUUAAGUAUCAAGUUGUAGUAAGAAAUAAAGAAAUUUAUAAUCGUUUACAUUCAAAUGCAUGUAUUUUUUUUUCGUGUGUUGAAGAAAAUUUAAUAAAUAAAAGAAGGAAUGCUGUCAUUA